UUUUUUUUUUUUUUUCGAGACAGAAUUUCACUCUUGUUGCCCAGGCUGGAUACAGUGGUGCAAUCUCAGCCCACUGCAACCUCCACCUCCUGGUUCAAGCAAUUCUCCUGCCUCAGCCUCCCGAGUAGCUGGGACUACAGGCAUGUGCCACCAUGCCCAGCUAAUUUUUGUAUUUUUAGUAGAGGCAAGGUUUCACUAUGUUGGCCAAGCUGGUCUUGAACCCCUGACCUCCUGAACUGCCCAUCUCAGCCUCCCAAAGUGCUGGGAUUACAGGUGUGCAUCACAGCACCCAGCUUUUUUUUUUUUUUUUUUUUGAGACAGAGUCUCACUCUGUUGCCCAAGUUGGAGUGCAGUGGCGCAAUCUCAGCUCACUGCAACCUCCCAGGUUCAAGCAAUUAUCCUGCCUCAGCUUCCCAAGUAACUGGGACUACAGGCAUGCACCACCAUGCCCGGCUAAUUUUUUUUGUAUUUUUAGUAGAGACAUGGUUUUACUAUGUUGGCCAGGCUGGUCUCAAUCUCUUGACCUUGUGAUUCACCUGCCUCAGCCUCCCAAAGUGCCGGGAUUACAGGCAUGAGCCACCGCGCCCAGCCUCUUUAUUUGUUCUGAAAUAAUAUGUGUUUACAAAAUUGAAAGAGAUUUCUACAGUUCUAGGUAUUUCAACUACCAUAUGUGGAAGAGCUAAUGUUAGUAGAUAAACGGUAGAUAAACUGAAGAUAGGCUUUGUAUGACAUUCAACAUAAGAAGUAACCACAAAAUGAAUUACAAACAAAACAGCAAGUAAAGACAGCUAUAAUACAAUAGAUUGAAUUGCCAUAUUCUUUAGGAUGAGGCCUGGAAUAUGCUGAACAUACAGACUGCAGAGGCACUCAGCCCAAGAUUAGUAUUGAGCCUUCAUACUCGAUAGUUGACCAUCACAGCUAAUAUAAGAAUUCAUGCAAUGAUUCAGUUAUUGAGUUGUAACUAGCAGGCUGGCACUGUGCUAGACUCGGAAGAUACACUGAAAUAGGUAGGGCAGAAAUCCUAGCCUGAGAAUUUUUUUCUUAGAAAGGAACAUUUAAUAGCAACUUGUGAAUAGAAGCCAUGUCUGUGUCUCUAGCAACAGUGAAACAAGAUGGUGGAUCCCCUCGCCAUUAACCCCCAUAUGGAAAGGGUAUAUGUAAUUCAGAAGGGAUGUGUAUUAGUCUGUUCUCACACUGCUAUAAAGGACUGCCUGGGACUGGGUAAUUUAUAAAUGAAAGAGAUUUAAUUGACUCACAGUACCUCAGGGCUGAGGAUGCCUCAGGAAACUUACAAUCAUAGCAGAAGGGGAAGCAAACAUGUCCUUCUUCACAUGGCGGCAGGAGAGAGAAGAAUGAGUGCCCAGCAAAGGGGGAAGUCCCCUAUAAAACCAUCAGAUCUCAUGAAAAUUCACUAUCACGAGAACAGGAUGGGGGAAACCACCCCCAUGAUUCAAUUAUCUCCACCUGAUCCCUCCCACAACCUGAGGGGAUUAUGGGAAUUACAAUUCAAGAUGAGAUUUGGGUGGAGACACAGCCAAACCACAUCAGGAUGUGUAGACAACAGAAGCACAAUAACAUCAAGGUUUUGACCUAAAGGCAGGAUUUACAGUAUGUGCUCUCACACAACUUGAAAUCUUAAGAGGACUUCCGGGAACAGGGGUUAAUCAGAAGCCAACAUGGCAGAUUAGUACCAAAGAUGGAGUUACUUUAGCUUCCAGAUUCCACCCAUCAAUCCAGCUCUUACAGUCGCACUUGCCCUCCUAUUUGGAGAUGGUCCCUGAGCUUUUAGGGAGGGUGGUUUCAUAUGAUAUAGCUUUAGCAGCAGCAACCUAGCAGUGGAAAACAGAUUGGACCCAGAGAGAUUCCAAAUGAAGGAGAUUCACAGGCUUUGUUGAAUUAUCUCUCGUCUUGAGAAUACCAUGACUUUGGUUUUCUCAGAAGUAGAACAAGAGAUACCUAGCAUUAAUAAUUUGAAUAGUAGAAACAUAGUGCAUGCAAGGAUUACAAUCAAAAGAAAAUUUGUAUGACAGAACAACAACAAAGAACCUAUUUCAUUAGGAAGCCAACUGAAAGCCGUGUGAAGAAAAUUAAGGCC
ensembl:lncRNA